GUACUUACCUGGACGGGUCGGCUUGUGAUCGAAAACACGAGUGGCCUAAGCUAUUGCAUAUUGCUUAGCUUAAGGUCUCCCCAAGUGGGAGAGUCUCCGUCAUUAUUUGUGGAAGGGACCGCGCGAUAUUGCUUUCGCGCGGUCCCUUC